UGGGGAAAAUUGGACAAUGGGCGCAAGCCUGAUGCAGCGACGCCGCGUGAGGGAUGAAGGCCUGCGGGUUGUAAACCACUUUCAGUAGAGAAGAAAAGCCUACGGUUAAUAGCCGUAAGUCUUGACCUAACCUACACAAGAAGCUCCGGCUAACUCCGUGCCCUAAGCCGCGGUAAU
rnacentral:rRNA from 1 species